rnacentral:rRNA from 1 species
UGGAUCAGUGGCGAACGGGUGAGUAACACGUGGGCAACCUGCCCCAGACUUCGGGAUAACUCCUCGAAAGAGGUGCUAAUACCGGAUACGAACUCCCAAGGCAUCUUGGGAGUUGGAAAGUUUUUCGGUCUGGGAUGGGCCCGCGGCCUAUCAGCUAGUUGGUGAGGUAAUGGCUCACCAAGGCGACGACGGGUAGCCGGCCUGAGAGGGCGACCGGCCACACUGGGACUGAGACACGGCCCAGACUCC